rnacentral:rRNA from 1 species
AGAGUUUGAUCCUGGCUCAGGAUGAACGCUGGCGGCGUGCUUAACACAUGCAAGUCGAACGAACCUUCGGGUUAGUGGCGGACGGGUGAGUAACGCGUGGGAAUCUGCCCUCAGGAGGGGGAUAACGGUUGGAAACGACCGCUAAUACCCCAUAUGCCGAGAGGUGAAAUGAAUUUCGCCUGAGGAUGAGCCCGCGUCUGAUUAGCUUGUUGGUGAGGUAAUGGCUCACCAAGGCAUCGAUCAGUAGCUGGUCUGAGAGGAUGAUCAGCCACACUGGGACUGAGACACGGCCCAGACUCCUACGGGAGGCAGCAGUGGGGAAUUUUCCGCAAUGGGCGAAAGCCUGACGGAGCAACGCCGCGUGAGGGACGAAGGCCUCUGGGCUGUAAACCUCUUUUCUCAAGGAAGAAGAUAUGACGGUACUUGAGGAAUAAGCCACGGCUAAUUCCGUGCCAGCAGCCGCGGUAAUACGGGAGUGGCAAGCGUUAUCCGGAAUUAUUGGGCGUAAAGCGUCCGCAGGCGGCCUUUCAAGUCUGCUGUUAAAACGUGGAGCUUAACUCCAUCAUGGCAGUGGAAACUGAUCGGCUUGAGUAUGGUAGGGGCAGAGGGAAUUCCCGGUGUAGCGGUGAAAUGCGUAGAUAUCGGGAAGAACACCAGUGGCGAAGGCGCUCUGCUGGGCCAUUACUGACGCUCAUGGACGAAAGCCAGGGGAGCGAAAGGGAUUAGAUACCCCUGUAGUCCUGGCCGUAAACGAUGAACACUAGGUGUCGGGGGAAUCGACCCCUUCGGUGUCGUAGCUAACGCGUUAAGUGUUCCGCCUGGGGAGUACGCACGCAAGUGUGAAACUCAAAGGAAUUGACGGGGGCCCGCACAAGCGGUGGAGUAUGUGGUUUAAUUCGAUGCAACGCGAAGAACCUUACCAGGGCUUGACAUCCUGCGAACCUCUAAGAGAUUAGAGGGUGCCUUCGGGAACGCAGUGACAGGUGGUGCAUGGCUGUCGUCAGCUCGUGUCGUGAGAUGUUGGGUUAAGUCCCGCAACGAGCGCAACCCACGUUUUUAGUUGCCAGCAUUUAGUUGGGCACUCUAGAAAGACCGCCGGUGAUAAACCGGAGGAAGGUGUGGAUGACGUCAAGUCAUCAUGCCCCUUACGUCCUGGGCUACACACGUACUACAAUGCUACGGACAAAGGGCAGCAAACUCGCGAGAGCUAGCAAAUCCCAUAAACCGUGGCUCAGUUCAGAUCGUAGGCUGCAACUCGCCUACGUGAAGUAGGAAUCGCUAGUAAUCGCAGGUCAGCAUACUGCGGUGAAUACGUUCCCGGGCCUUGUACACACCGCCCGUCACACCAUGGAAGUUGGCCACGCCCGAAGUCGUUACUUUAACCCUUGUGGAGAAGGACGCCGAAGGUGGGGCUGAUGACUGGGGUGAAGUCGUAACAAGGUAGCCGUACCGGAAGGUGCGGCUG